UUCGUUUGAUAGCCUAACGGAUAACUAUAGCGACAUUAUAGUCGGUCAAACGUCGGACGUUUUCGGUCUCUGGAAACAGUCUCCGGGUCUCUCUCUCUCUUCUCUUCUCUCAGGCCAAAGCUUUCUGCACAGUACGCUUUCAACCGCCAGACCCCGAAACCCUCUCUGCACAGUAUAUCGAACCCCUCACGUGCGCGUCCGAAACUUCCCCGGACCCGACCCGGGCAGUCGUCACCGUUGGGUCCGGAUCAUCCCCAAACAUCUACAAAACGUCUCCAUUUUGUUAAUUGGACUUUCUAACCUAGUUUUCUUGAACCGCCCGAUUUUGAUUAGAUGAUCCAAAAUACUCCCUCUUAUCUCCAUUCUAGUAUAUAUAUCAGUCUAACCCUAAAUUUUAGGUAGAUGUCCCAUCCAUCCCUUUCCUUCCGCCGCCACCCGACCUAUUCCUUGUCUCUCUCGGGAUUCCCUCACCCGAUCUUCCUCGAUCCCCUCGCCCAGCCAACCAUCGAAGCCUACGGCCUCCUCCUCCCACCUUGGAAUCCUAUCCCACCAACCAGACCUCCACGUGAAGCCUAGCGCCGCCUCCCGAUCGAGCUGCUCGAUCUGCUGCUCCCGAACGCGCCCGCCUCCUCCUGCUGGCCUACCUCGUCACCGGAGCAGCUCGUCCCUGAGCUUGACCUCGCCCCUGCUUCGAUCGGCGACCACCCCGGCAAGCCCUGCCGCCUCCCGUCACUCCAGCCCCGCAUGGCCCCCUGGAAGCCGUCGCCGACCGCUGCCGCCGGCGCCCGCAGGAGCUCGCCGCCGAAGGAGCACGCCAAGCGCCAUGGCCGCCCAGGGUCUUCUCUUGCCUCGACCCGUCAAGUUGCCACCGGGAACGACCUCCACCGCCCAGGGCCUUCCCUAGCCUCGUCGCCGUCGACCUGCGAAGGGACCCGCCAUGGCCAUCCUCGUCUUCAAGACGCGUUGCCCGCGCACGGUUUCGGCGCUCUCAGCAUGCCCACGCCCCGGAUCUGGACGCCCAUCGCCGGAGGCCGCCGUCCCGCGCCUGGAGAUGUGCCCCUCCAUCCCCCGCGGCUCUGUCUCUUCCUCGCCGCCGAACUCCUGCUUCAAGACGCAGCCGGCGCCCACUCGUUCUGCUCGGGAACGAGCACACCCUGCCUCUGCUUCAAACCAUGGGGCCGAUGCCUCCAGUGCCUGCGUUGACCCCGCGCGUGGGCCGCGCAAAGGCCGAGUCCGCCCGGCCUAGCCACUGCUCCAGAGGCCCAUGGCCAAAGUGAGCAGCCCCUCCAGCGCCCCCUUUCCUUUGCACUUCUGGGCCUGCCGGUUUUGGCCCAUGGUAUUUUUUUUCCUGUCCAACGAUUUUCCAUAUUAUCCUGAGACUUUAGUUUUACAGAAAAAUCCUCCUUGUUCACGCAUUUAAUAUCUCACAAACCGUGUAUCGGAUUAAAAUAAGUUAUAUAUGAAACUUGCUUAGAAUUUUUUGUAGAUUAA